UAAUUAUGUUCACAAAAUUUUCAUCAAAAGACAUUUCACUUUAGUGAAGCACAUUUUAAUGUUUUUUUAUAAGAAAAAAUAAAUUUACAAUGUGAAACAAUAAACUCAGAGCAAAUAGGUUUAUGAUUGAGUGCUGGUUGUCAGAGUUCAAUUUUUGUCGAUCGUCUAUUUUCUUGAUCAAUGAUUCGAUGUUUGAUGGUGUUGACUCCAUCUGUUGUAGUCUUGAAAGCACCACAGAUACUCGGCAGAAAACCCAUUCCAUCCACCAUAUUUUUCACAUUGGUGAUUAUUUGGACCACACAUGCUCCAUGCUCAACUGCAAUUUUCAAACGUCUUUUUUACUGGAUAUGAAAUGAUGCUGCAUGCCGAUGAACUUGUCAUCUUUCCAGUAUAUAGGAAAUUCAAAACUAGAAAAGUGAAUGAAUUGUGAACAAAAAGAUAAAGUAUACAACAUUUUUUAGAAAAAUAAGUUUUGCUCAAAAACCCAUUGUUCGUGAAUCAAUUAAACUCUAAUCAACGAGUUCGCAUCCAUUGAAUCUAGGGCCAAAUUAAGCAUCGCCCCAUUAAAACAAACGCACAGAACUAACUCAUUGAAGCAUAGAAAUAAUAAAACGAAACCGAAACCAAAUAAAAAGGAACAUUUUUCAUGGGUCCUAAUCUUGAAGUUAAUUGUGGGCAAAAUUUACCAACCAAGAAAUAAACAAAGAGAAGUUCAUAAAGAUAUUUUAUUAUAAAGUUUAACUAGAACAUUUAUUCAAUCACAGGGAAUGCUGAUUGAACUUAUUCCACAAAAUACUUCAAAAAAACUGGAGAUCAACCUAAUGUAAUUGUCCACAAGAUAUCAUAACUUACACGGAAGGAAGUAGUGAGGGAUUGAGGAGAGAGAUCUGAUCCCAAUCGGCAAUACUCGGCCUUUGCUAGAGAGAGACGGAAAUGACACUGGGAUUGAAGGCACCUUGGUUGUUGCUGAGGUAAUGGCGACAGAGAGAGAGAGAGAGGGAGGUGGUAUUGUGAAAAGAGAGAAAGAGGGAGGUUCACAGUUUUAGAGUCGAUGGCUGCUCUUCUGAUAAUGGCGAGAGAGAAAGCGGGGCUGGAGACGCAAAUGGCAGAGGGUGAGAGAGAGGUGGUAUUGGAGAGAGAGAAGGGAGAGAAAGAGGUUGAAACUGUCAAAGGCUCUGGAUU
rnacentral:lncRNA from 1 species